rnacentral:ncRNA from 1 species
UCCUUGCAGGUCGAACCGUCACCGUAGGGUGUGCUUGUCUGGCAACCGCCAGACUAGACCGCAAGGGCGCC